AUAGAUACCUGGCAGGGAAGAUACCAUGAUCACGUAGGUGGUUUUCCCAGGGUGAGACUUAUCCAUUGUGCUCUGGAUGUGCUGACCCUUGUGAUUUUCCCAAAUGUGGGAAACUCGACUGCAUGAUUUGUGGUGGUAGGGGACUGCAUUUAUGCUCUCCUCUG
rnacentral:snRNA from 1 species